AAUUGAUGAGCUUGUAUAAGUAUAUACCUUGAAAGUAUAAAAAAGGAACAUAAUUUCCUAUCAAUUU
rnacentral:tRNA from 1 species